AUGCAAAGAACUUUGAAAAGAGAGUUAAAGAGUACCUGAAAUUGCUGAAAGGGAAGCGAAGGAAAUCAGUGCUUGCUGAGUCAUAUUUCUCACUCUGCUUGCAGAUUGGGCGCUGUGUCUUGGCUUAUGUCAGACUUGGUUCGGCUUGUUGGAAUCGCGCUGUGAGAGUUGAUCACGGCAUGUCUGCAACGAGCUUGACUGAGGUUGACAAAAUGGUUUUCUUUACCCCGUCUUGAAACACGGACCAAGGAGUCUAACAUAUGUGCGAGUAUAGGGGUGUCAAACCCCCAUGCGCAAUGAAAGUGACAGUGGUUGGACCUUUGUGGCACAAUCCGCCGGCCUCAAUCCCUCGGGAGAAUGGUCUGAGUGUGAGCAUACAUGUUGGGACCCGAAAGAUGUGUGAACUAUGCCUGAAUAGGGUGAAGCCAGGGGAAACUCUGGUGGAGGCUCGUAGCGAUUCUGACGUGCAAAUCGAUCGUCAAAUUUGGGUAUAGGGGCGAAAGACUAAUCGAACCAUCUAGUAGCUGGUUCCCUCCGAAAUUUCCCUCAGGAUAGCUGCAAUCGAAUGUCAAUUUUAUCA
rnacentral:rRNA from 1 species